GACGAACGCUGGCGGCGUGCUUAACACAUGCAAGUCGAGCGGAAAGGCCACUUCGGUGGUACUCGAGCGGCGAACGGGUGAGUAACACGUGAGUAAUCUGCCCUUGGCUUUGGGAUAGCCACCGGAAACGGUGAUUAAUACCGGAUACGACCACUUCUCGCAUGGGAUGGUGGUGGAAAGUUUUUUCGGCCAGGGAUGUGCUCGCGGCCUAUCAGCUUGAUGGUGAGGUAAUGGCUCACCAUGGCUUCGACGGGUAGCCGGCCUGAGAGGGUGACCGGUCACACUGGGACUGAGACACGGCCCAGACUCCUACGGGAGGCAGCAGUGGGGAAUAUUGGACAAUGGGCGGAAGCCUGAUCCAGCAACGCCGCGUGAGGGAUGACGGCCUUCGGGUUGUAAACCUCUUUCAGCAGGGACGAAGCGCAAGUGACGGUACCUGCAGAAGAAGCACCGGCCAACUACGUGCCAGCAGCCGCAGUAAGAC
rnacentral:rRNA from 1 species